AACGUAGGUGGCGAGCGUUAUCCGGAUUUACUGGGCGUAAAGGGUGUGCAGGCGGGCUGUUAAGUGGUGCAUGAAAUCUCCGCGCUUAACGUGGAGAGGCUGUGCCAGACUGGCAGUCUAGAGUACGAGAGAGGGUUGUGGAAUUCCCGGUGUAGCGGUGAAAUGCGCAGAUAUCGGGAAGAACACCCGUGGCGAAGGCGGUUCUCUGGGACGGUACUGACGCUGAGACGCGAAAGCGUGGGGAGCGAACAGG
rnacentral:rRNA from 1 species